rnacentral:rRNA from 1 species
CCCUUAGAUGUUCUGGGCCGCACACGCGCUACACUGAAGGAGGCAGCGUGUACUCCUGGAUCGAAAGAUUUGGGUAACCCGCGAAUCUCCUUCGUGCUAGGGAUUGAGGUUUGCAAUUAUCCUUCAUGAACGAGGAAUUCCCAGUAAGGGCAAGUCAUAAGCUUGCGCUGACUACGUCCCUGCCCUUUGUACACACCGCCCGUCGCUACUACCGAUUGAAUGAUUUAGUGAGGACUUCGGACUGGGACCGAUGCGGCUUUCGGGCUGCGUCGGUAUUCUGGAAAGAUGUCCAAACUGUAUCAUUUAGAGGAAGUAAAAGUCGUAACA